ensembl:piRNA 21ur-1295 ncRNA
UGAUUGAAACGUAACGUUCAG